GGGGAAUCUUGGACAAUGGGGGAAACCCUGAUCCAGCCAUGCCGCGUGAGUGAUGAAGGCCCUAGGGUUGUAAAGCUCUUUUAGCAGGGAAGAUAAUGACGGUACCUGCAGAAAAAGCCCCGGCUAACUUCGUGCCAGCAGCCGCGGUAAUACGAAGGGGGCUAGCGUUGCUCGGAAUCACUGGGCGUAAAGCGCACGUAGGCGGAUCUUUAAGUCAGGGGUGAAAGCCUGGAGCUCAACUCCAGAACUGCCUUUGAUACUGAAGAUCUUGAGGUCGGGAGAGGUGAGUGGAACUGCGAGUGUAGAGGUGAAAUUCGUAGAUAUUCGCAAGAACACCAGUGGCGAAGGCGGCUCACUGGCCCGAUACUGACGCUGAGGUGCGAAAGCGUGGGGAGCAAAC
rnacentral:rRNA from 1 species